GACAACAGAUUGAUUGCAUUAGACUUGAAGAUUCCGCUGAUCUCACUACAUUCCAUGACCGUUGUUCGAGCUUCUUAUCUCAAACUCCUAGGUAGUUGUUUAAACAUUGUAGCCGAUAUGAACAACGCUCUUUGUACAAUUGGUGCUUUCUAUAGAAACAUUUAUGGGGGACUAAGGUUUUUGCUGUCAAUGAGAUUGAAUAAGAUUACGGAGAUCGUCGAAGAUUACGACUAUAUUACCAUUAUAAUUCUACCAUAUCUAUAUAUGGUACAAUUAUAAUGGUAAUAGAGCUUUUGAACUGUUAAUGUAAAGCUCGGUGGAGUGUGGAAACUUGUUGGACACAUUAUUUUCUUGGUUCUAGUUGCAGCAAUUAACAAGAGUAGCACAAUAUAAUGAAAGCUAGCAUAUGUUUGGUGCCCAUUAUUUAAAAAAUAAUAACAAGAAGAAGAAAAAUUGAAUUGUAUUUUUAGGAGAAUGUUUGAUUAAAAAGUAGAGAAAAGUUUGGAGGUUACGUGCAAACUAUUUAAUUUUGUGAAUGUGUCGCUAAAAAUGAUCUUAUAGGGAAAAGAUAUUUAAAACAAUGGGCACCAAAUUGGGGCUUAAUAUUAUGUCAUAGUGUUACAUUAAAGGAAAAAGAAAUGUGUUGGGAAUGUUUGGUAAGUGAUGCCCAAAUCUCCAAGGCGAUGAUGAAAAAUUGAGGCUCGUUUCAACCUCAUAGGCUAUAAGCCUAGGAUUGAAGAAUUGAAUCCACACCACAAUUGAAGUAGCCCAAUUAUGUCGGGUAUUUAGAGGUAAUCAAUCCAUUGGGCUAGGUGCUCAAUACCCAAUUUGGAGGUAAUUUGAAAAUCACAAGAAAGAUAGAUAAUUUAUAAUCUUUAUCUUUCUUUAACCAAUUUAUCUUGUCUUGUGCUCUAUCUUUUAGUUAACAUAAUCUUGUAGAUUUCUAUUCAUCCUAAACUAGCAAGAUUUUCGGGAAAUCCGUUCUCUAUAUGAGCCUAUAAAUUGGAGCUUUCACCCUUCAUUUUUCUCACCCUCAAAACAAGAGAAACUCUCCUCCUGCUUAGUGUAAAACAAAUCUUCCUUUGCCUUCUUUGUGAAAUUGUCUUUGUGAUUGAUAAUGGCCUUCAAAUUGGAGAUACUUUUAUGGUGUGAAUCAAGUUUCUGAGCCAAAUCAAAAAGGGUUCUUCAAUUUUUAGUUUUUUUGGUUUUAAGUUUCUUGAAGUUAAUCUUUCCAAAUCCUUCAUUAAUUGGAUCUUUUGGUUGAUUUAUAGGUGGGUUUGCUUCACAAAAUGCAUGAAACAAAACUUAGAAUUAUUAUUCCAUAUUGCUAUCUCUUUGAUGUGCUAUUUUUGAUGUUAAUGGUUCCUGCAAUUGUAAUUAAUUCUGUGUAUUUGAUAUGGUUAUGCUAACUAUUCAGUAUUGAUAUUUUAUAAUUUUAUUGGAAUAAUGAAUCCUUGAGAAAAGUAAAAAGAUGACUGGAACAGAGAUAAAUUUAAAUUUUUUGUCAACUUUUUCUUGGAUGAUUCUGCUAUUCUGAUUGGUUGAUUUUCAAAUUGGAAUUUUGGUUUUUAUAUGUUGUCAAAAAUGAUAGGAACAUUGCAUGUCCUGGUCGUAUUGCCAUUCAGUCACUAGGUGCGCCACAAUGCGACUUUUCUGACAAGGUUAGGACUCAUUUUCAUGGAGUAAUGUGAUCUUUUUUUUAUCGAAAGAUUUAAGUUUUUAUUAAAUAUUCCUAGACUGUUAGGAGGGUACUGGAUGGACGACUACAUGUUUUAAGUUUGGCUGUUAAAUUCUUUCACAAAUGACCUGUGUAUUAUUUUGGUUGGAAUGUGAUAUACUUUCUUUUGUCAGAUCUCUAACAAACACCAAGGAUCAAAACCUUCCACACCCCACACCGGAUUUACAGGGUGUACUUUCCCUGUAAACGGUCAUCAAAUGCAGUAGCCGUUAUCACUUUUCCGCCUUCCCUUGUUUCACCAUCCUUGGCUGACACCUUGGUUUCUGUCAAAGCAAUUCCAGGGGUGUGUUUGUAUAUGUGUUUUAUAAGCUUGUUAUUAAAUAUCACACCUUUUUGUGGGCUAAUUAUUUACAACCUAUGCUUGAAAUAGACGAGGACAAGGAACUGGCAAAGCUUCUUACUGGAUAUCAGGAUAUGGUUGGCCUCCUCAGUGUACACAAGGUGGCACGUAUGAGUAAUAAAUUAAAUACAAGGCAGAAUCAUGAUCCGAAGUGUUAUUACUGAUAUGGAAGAAGAGAAAUAUCAUGCUUAAGUAUGUCCUUUUAUCAGAUAGAUGAAAUACAAAACAGAAUGAUAAUAGGAUUUUUGGUUACAAAAUGAAGCCCUAUUGGACCCGUAUUAUACUUUCAUCUCCUUGAUUUUAUGGUGAAGAGAUUAUCUAUAGACUCAUUCACCUUGAAUAUCUUAAUAUUUACAAAGAACCUAUGAAUAAAAUUGUGUUUCUAACCUUCUACAUUUUACAUAAAAUAAGUGUGAUAAAUUAUAUGAAAGAAGAAAUUUGAAGAUGAAAUCCAGUCACGUCUGUGUAUUCUUUGAAGUAAUGUUAUUCAUUGAGUUGAGAAGAUCAUCAAUUUCUGUGAAACUAUAUCGACUCCUCAUUUUACUUUAAAAAUAUCACUUCUUAUUCUUUUAUAAGAGCGCUUUCAAGAAAUUCUCUCUUUAUAUAGAAUAUCUUUAAAUAGAAUUUAUAAAUUUCAUCAUUACUCUUUAUAUUGACUUCUCAAUAGCAUUAUUCAUUCUUUUAUAAGAGCAUUUUCAAGAGACUUGCUAUUUAUAUGGAACAUCUUUAAAUAUAUUUAUACGCUCCGACAUUGCUCUUUAAAUUGACAACUCAUUUUAAUUUUUUAAGGAAACGUUUAUUGAUUUCUCAUCUUAUUUCUUUAUAUGUUAAUGGUCAAUUAAUUUUUAACAAUGAUAAAAAUAAUUUAUGAAGUGAAAUAUCAAGUAUGUAGCUUAUUAAAUAAAUUUAUUAUAAAAUAAGAAUGGAGCAUCAGUUUGGUUCUUUGUAAAAAUUCAAAAAAAAAAAAAAGGUUAAAAUAUAAAGUUUCCUGAAACUUAUUUUUAAGCAUUGAUUUUAAAUUGGAGAGCAUUUCGUAUUUUAAAAAACGAUAGAAGUUAAACUAGAGGGAUUGGCUACAGUUUUCUCCCUUCUUUUCCUCGUUCAAUGUGCACCCUUUGUACAUGUUUGGGGAUUUUCAGACAUUGACUGGGAUUAAGCAAAGAAUAUAGUCUUGAUUAUCCAUGGGCAGUGUUUUGAUAAUUCACAACAUUCAAUAAGGGAUGGAGUAUGAUAGCGAUAGAUUUGAAGAAGAAAGAUACAAUUUGGUUUGAAGGGACGUGGUACAUAAUUAUGAGGGGACAAAAAGGAAAAACACUUGUGUAACACGCUAAGNNNNNNNNNNNNNNNNNNNNNNNNNNNNNNNNNNNNNNNNNNNNNNNNNNNNNNNNNNNNNNNNNNNNNNNNNNNNNNNNNNNNNNNNNNNNNNNNNNNNNNNNNNNNNNNNNNNNNNNNNNNNNNNNNNNNNNNNNNNNNNNNNNNNNNNNNNNNNNNNNNNNNNNNNNNNNNNNNNNNNNNNNNNNNNNNNNNNNNNNNNNNNNNNNNNNNNNNNNNNNNNNNNNNNNNNNNNNNNNNNNNNNNNNNNNNNNNNNNNNNNNNNNNNNNNNNNNNNNNNNNNNNNNNNNNNNNNNNNNNNNNNNNNNNNNNNNNNNNNNNNNNNNNNNNNNNNNNNNNNNNNNNNNNNNNNNNNNNNNNNNNNNNNNNNNNNNNNNNNNNNNNNNNNNNNNNNNNNNNNNNNNNNNNNNNNNNNNNNNNNNNNNNNNNNNNNNNNNNNNNNNNNNNNNNNNNNNNNNNNNNNNNNNNNNNNNNNNNNNNNNNNNNNNNNNNNNNNNNNNNNNNNNNNNNNNNNNNNNNNNNNNNNNNNNNNNNNNNNNNNNNNNNNNNNNNNNNNNNNNNNNNNNNNNNNNNNNUUAUCAAUCUCCCAGUUUGAGUCCCCUCAGAGCUAUUGAGGUGAGGAUCCGACUGUAAAUUUCAGGGUCCUGUGGAAUUAGUUGAGAUAUUUGUAAGUUGGUUCGGACACACACGGACAUAAAAGAAAAAAAGAUUUAUCAAUCUGUAGCCAUUUCUCUCUAUAGAAUCCCAAUUCACAAAUCAUCUCCUUACUCACUAAAAUUUCUAUCCUAAAUCAUUGAUUGACCAUGAAGCCACUGUAAUGCAGACGUCAAUAGCUUAUGAAAUUCAUUAUUUUAGAGAAGUUAUAGCUCGUUAGAUUUAUCAUAUUUUCCUUGAGCAAAUUUGAUCAUUUUGGCUCUUCUAGUCACAUGGUAAAUCGAUUGCAACUGUGUUUGCAUUCAAGAAACACAUAUCUAGGUACGCAUAAGCCCUUGAAGUUUCUGUAAUCAUUUUUUUGAAUUUUAUGACAAUUGCUUCUAAUUGUGAUCAGUAAGUGUAAUUCAUGAAUUUUGUGUGCAUUUUACCCCAUUUGUAACAUAUGUUUACAAUUUUGUGAUUAGACAGUAUGCAUUUAUUAUUUGUAAUUUGAGAAUUUUUAACAUUGUUGAUCUAAAAAUACUAUUCUAAACAUAUUUAAGCAAAAAAACUGUUUGUGACUAGUUUUUGCAAUGAAUGUAACUAUCCGUACCCAUGUUUGUGCUUCAAUCAUUAUGUUAAAUGUGAGUGAUUGUAACUUGAGAUGAAUCAUUUGUGAACUCUAUUUUACAUAUUGCAACCAGCUAUUAUGUGAAAUGAAAACAAUAUGUGACCAAUUUUAUAUGCAUUAAAUGUGACUCUAUGUGACCAAUGCUACAUUUUGCAACUUGUUCUACGCUAAUACUUACUGUUUGUAACCAUUUUUUGUUAACCGUAACCCUUUCUAACCAGGUCAGUGUUGAAUAUGACUUUUUUUGAGCAGGUUUAUUUUAGAUGUGAUUGUUUGUGACCUGUAAUUUAUUGAAUGUGACUUACCGUCAUCUGUCUAUGAGUAUAAUUUUUGUCAUUUUUUUUUUGUAAUCGGAAGACAUGACUAAUGAAAUUGUGCUUGCUCCUGAUCAAAAGAGAAGUUCAGAACGUCUUACUGAGGAGGAGGAGAAGAAGAAGAAGUUAGCUUGCGAGAGAUCACAAGUUGUAAAAUAUGAAAGAAACGGUGGAUAUGUUCAAAAUCGUACGACUUGUAACAACAUGGUACCAUUUUACCAAAAAGAGGAAAGAUUAAAGGCAAAGAAACAAUCAAAUCAAUUUAAAUAUCUCAGUAUAUUUUUAUUAAUAACAUCAAGAUAUUCUUUAUAGUUACAAGUUUUUUCAUUUUAUUCACGAAUUGUAUAUUAUUGAAUAGAUUGAAUUAAAAUAUUAUUCAACUAACAUUUACUAUUAAUGCAAAAUUUUUGAAUUCGGUAUGUGCAUAAAAAUUCAUGUGUUGUGAAUAGGUUUCCGUAUUUCGUAAAAUCUCAGCAAAUUGUAACCUAUUGAAUGUGUUACAUGUGAUGUAUAUGACAAUGUUUAGUAUACUAGUGACUAUUUGUGACUAGGACUUCUCUGUAACCAGGAGUGUGUAAGUCAUUAUUGGUUGUAACUCGGCCUGUAUUGAUUGUGAUUGUCUUUAAUCAUGUAUGUCUUAAUUGUGACUGUAUUUGACCAAAUCUGUUAUAACAUUGAAUGCAUGCGACCAGGUAUAUUGGAGCUAUUAUUGUUUGUGACCAGAUUUGUGUAAGCUGUUAUUUGUUGUGAUAAGAUGUAUCUUAACUUUGAUUGUGCGUAAUCAGGUUUUUCUUAAAUGUGACUGUCAUUGAAAAUGCAUUUCUUAAAUGUGAUUGCCUAUGACCUGAUGCGUCAUAAUUUUGACUAUAUGUGACCAGUGUUGUCUUGACUGUGGUUGUAUGUGAUGUUUGUGUUAAUAGUAUUUUGUGAUCUAGUAUGUGAACAAUGACCUUUUGUAAUCAAUUUUGUAUUAAUUGUGACUAUUCGAGAUAUUUUGUGUUAAUUAUGACUCUCUGUGGUCAAGUUUAUGUUAAUUGUGACUAUCUGUGAUCAUGUCUGUUUUCACUAUGAAUGUUUGUGACGUGUUGUUAUCUAACGGUGAUCUAUUGUUGCCUACCAAACUACACAGAGAAUUGAAGAGUAAAUAUUGUUAAGGUUGAAGAUUAAACAUUGUUGAAGAGUUUAUUAAUCAUAAAAUACGCCAGUUUUUUGGAUGCUAAUGCCAUAAAGUGUCUCUUAACACUAGGAUCCUCUUUUAGAUGCAAAAUACCUCAUGCUUAAACCAUUCAUUUCCAACAAAUGAAUAAUCCAGAAAUUUAUACCCUACUUUAAGAGGAAUAAAAUAGAGAGCCAAAACCAACACUUACCCUAAAUUGGCAAAAUCUAGUAUUUUCUAGUUUUCAUUCUUUUUUUUUUUACGCUAUUUGUAUAAUGACUGAGGGAAGCUUUUUAUGAAGUAGCACAAUAGCGGAAAAAAAAGAGCACUAUUAUUUGUGACUUCAAUUCGCACUCCAUAUCGAUGAAGGACUUUUCAUGUUUGUGUUUCUCUUCUUACUAUAUCGCAAUAUCACCGCCACAUUCCCUUACCUCAACUACCACCUCUAUACUGGAAUACAUCAUGCUUUGAAAUGAAAAAUUAUACCUGCUAUUUCAUGAAUUAACUAUAAGGUUUAUCAACACAAGCAGAACUAAGUUACUGCUUCUCCAGGUGUAGUCAAGCAUUUUGCACAAAUACCUUGCAUACACAAAUUUGUUCAAUUACAAACUAAGCAAAGAGUUAAUUCUCCAAAUAAUCACUGAACUUUGCCAAAAGUUUUCUCAGGUCACCGAACUUCAAAACUUCUCUAAAUAGUCACUAAACUUUGCCAAAAGUUUCCAGGAGGUCUCCGAAUUUCAAAACUUCCCCAAGUAGUCACUAAAUUUUACAAAAAGUUUCAAGGAGAUCACUAAAAUAGUGAUGCAUGGGGUCCCAAUUUGUAAAGUUGAGUGACCCCCUAAGAACUUUUUGCAAAGUUCAGUAACUAUUUAAGGAAGUUUUGAAAUUCGAUGACCUGUUGAAAAUUUUUGGUAAAGUUUAGGACUGUUUAGGAAAGUUUUGAAGUUCGAUGACCUCCUCGGAGCUUGACAAAGUUCAGUGACUAUUUGGGGAAUUAACUCCUAAGCAAAACACAAUAUCUGCCAUAUAAUAACAUAAUUUACAAACAAUAUUCCCCAAAGUUUGUAAUAAAUAUUAGGAUCAUACUACUAGUACAAACUUUUUUUGACAAACUCCCUUACUCACUACUCACAAUGGGAAUGGGGCCCACAAGCCAACAUUUUUUAAAUUCACUAGGGAUUUGUUAAUUUUGUGAGAGUGAGUACACCAUUUUGUCAACAAGAUUUUGUACAAAUAUCUUUAUUCUGAAUAUUGAGUUAAAUAGGAGGCGGACAAAGUUUUCAACCACACUAACCCGUAUAACGAAUUUGCAGUGCCACUACCACUAGCACCGCCACCAACAAUCCAACACACAAAUUCUAGGUUAACAUUGGAGCUGAACCCAUAGAGCGUGUGGAAUGAAUCAUCAUUUCAUCAAUGAUUUUCAAAAUCCCAAAACUCCCAAAUAUGUGCACCAUUAACCUAGAGUUACAAUUUCAAUUCACUUUCACUCACACCUACAAUUAACAUUUGUAUCGACAUAGAAGAAGUUGAGAAAGAAAGGAAGUGUAGAGAUUGAGAGAGAGAGAGAGAGAGAGAGGUGGAGGGAUCGUAGAAUGAAAAUUAAAGGGAUUGUAGAAUGAAAAAUAAGUAAACUGUUAUAAUGGUAUUGUUUGAAAUGAUUUGAUUUAGGACAAUUAUUUAAUAUAUUAAUCAUAAUCUAAAGUCUUAUUUAUCACCUGAUUGGUGAAAUUACACCACCUUAAUUUUGAAUUGUAUACUUUAUACGUAGAGUUUGGGCUAAUUUUUUCUAAGGGUCCGUUUCAUUGUAAGAAUAUAAUUUAGGUGGAAAGAAAACAAAUUCCAGGAAAUUGAAUUGUUUAGAGCUUGUUUUAUUGAGAAUUUCCAAUUAAAUGUGUUUGAUUGAUAUAAUUUUUCACCUGAAAAAUGUUAAAAUUUUGGAUCUUUUGAUGUUCGUUUCGCUUUGUUUUUCAUGAAUAUUAUCAAUUAAAUGGAUAUAUAUAUAUAUAUAUAUAUAUAUAUAUAUAUAUAUUUUUUUUUUUUUUUUNNNNNNNNNNNNNNNNNNNNNNNNNNNNNNNNNNNNNNNNNNNNNNNNNNNNNNNNNNNNNNNNNNNNNNNNNNNNNNNNNNNNNNNNNNNNNNNNNNNNNNNNNNNNNNNNNNNNNNNNNNNNNNNNNNNNNNNNNNNNNNNNNNNCUAGAAAACCCAUUUUCUCAACAAAAUCCAAGGAAUUGGAAUUCCUUUAAAAGCAAGAAAAUGAGGCCACGUGAGGGAGUAGUGAAAAAUGUAUUCCCUGGAAAAUUUUGGGAAUCAAACAACAAAAUUGGGUGGAAAAUGGAAAUUUUUUUCAUGGAAAAUGGCUCUAUCAAACAUACCCUAAAUUGAAUUGAAAGUACGUUCUUUUUUCUUUUCUUUUCUUUUCCUUUUUUUAAUGGGUCUCAAACAGACGCUAAGCAUUGGAGUGCCAUAGAUCGGGUUGUGAGACAAUAUAGCUCUUACAUUUGGUAACUUGAGAAGAGUCGAGCAUUUUUCUUCAAUUCUAAGAUCCAUGGUGAUUAGAAAAUUACUAAGGAAAGAAAAAUCCAAAUAAAAACAGCUAGGCUCGAGUGUUACGGUAGCCUAAAAUUUAUCGGCUUAACAAUGUCAUUUUGACUUCCCAAACCAUGAACAUGUAUAUUAUAUAUGCAACAUGUAUAUUAUAUAUACACCGAUAGCUAAAAAAUCAAACUACUGGUUAAUAUCCGACUUUGCUAAAACAUAGAGUCCAUUGGUAAUGGGAAAUGAGAAAUAAUACAGGACCCAAAAAACAAAUUUCCCAACAAUCUUCUCAUCUUGACAGCACCAUGCAUUAUACUAAUUAAGCCAAGUUUCAUGAAACUGUGAAGCUGGUGGUAUUACUUGUCCUUCAAUGAUGUGGCAAUGUCGAUCACAAACCGGUAUUUAACAUCAGAUUUCACAAGGCGAUCCAUUGCAGUGUUGAUGUAAUCAAUAGGGAUGAUCUCCACAUCUGGUAAUAUGUUGUGCUUUGCUGCAAAAUCAAUCAUCUCUAGGGUUUCUUUCAUUCCUCCUAUCCCACUGCCGGCUAUUAAUUUUCUACCUGGAGUCAUUGUGGAAGGUUAGCGAUAUUGUCAAGACCAGACCUGGCCUGACCAGAGAAACUGGGCAUCGCCCAAAUCAGUUUGGUUAUGGGGUAAAAGCAUUUAGAAUUAGAAACCUUGAAUAGAAGCACCAUACAGGUGGGGUUCACCCCGAGAUUUUGCUUUUAUUUUAGCACUGAUUCAACUCUUUGAACCUUGACCUUUUUCCGAGAUCAAUGCCAGAGCCAAUCUUUUAAACAUUUAUGUUUAGCCAUUAUUUUUUAGCAAAAGUGAAACCCCCUUCCUUUCCCUUCUUUAAAUAAUAAAAAAAUAUUUAUUUUAAUUUCUUAUGACUAUACUUUUCAAGCUUAUGCAAACAUGAUAUGAGAGAGCGGAGGAGCAAGAGAAUGAGAAAUAUUAAUGAAAUGCUUACCUGUAAUCAGUGGAAACGCUGGCAACUCAAUUGGCUUGUUCGGAACAACAACCAGUACCAUCUUUCCAUGAGGCUUCAACAAACUAAGCAGGGGUAAAAUGGGGUGAUCAGAAGAUACAGUAUCAACGAUCCCAUCCAAUGUCCUAGCUGUAGCCUGAACAUGGACAAAUAUAGAGAUUAAUGUGGUUUCUCAAGUCUCAGCAGAACAACUAAAUUAAACCAAGCAAAAUCCCAAUUCCUCACCUUCAUCUCCUCAGGAUCACGACUAACCAAAAACAAGUCGGCACCAAGUUUUUCAAUAGCUCCCUUCUUCUUAUUAAUAGAUGUACUGAUAACUGUAAUUUUAGUACCAAAAGCCAUAGCGAACUUCACAGCUACAUGGCCAAGCCCACCAAAACCACCAACACCAAUAUUCAUUCCCGGCUUGUCCAGUCCAAAGUACCUCUAGGGGCUGUAAGUUGUAAUCCCAGCACAUAAAAGAGGAGCACCAACGUCAAGGGGAAAGUUCUCAGGCCAACGAACAAUGAAGUGCUCAUCAGCAACCAUUAACCUCCACAUGUAAUGGUACCAUCAGUGUAAACAGCGCUAUAGGUAGGUAUCAUUUUAGAACAGUAAUUUUCAAGAUCAUUGCUGCAUUUAUCACACUGGCGACAUGAUCCAACCAUACAUCCAACUCCUACUUUGUCCCCAAACUUGACAUUCUUCACCUUGCUGCCAACCUCAGUUACUUCACCCACUAUGUCGUUCCUGCAAUAAACAGCCCAGUUCAACAUAUGCAUCAACUACUACUUUCGAAGAUAUAUAAUCUUUUAAUAACUUUAAGAUGAUUCACAGACUACCGCAACAGUUAGCAUUCAAUUUCUAUGAUUUAGUUUAUUAGAUAGUAUAUCCAUGGAAGCCAAAGAAUCAAUCCAUAGUAAGUCCAACUGGUGGUACAAAAAAGCAAAGACAGUUGCCACUUUUUAUUUUUAUUUUCAUAUAUGGAAUCAGAAAUGCUUGUAUUCAUCCAAAUAUGUCACAAGAAUCUGUUUAAAUAUUUCUAUAUUCUCUGCUUUCAAAUCCAGAUUACAACAAUCACUGAUCCUCACAAUACUAACACAGUAAUUGUGUGUGAGAUGUGUGCAUAUUGAACCACCCCAUCUAAAAAGUCCAAGGCAUUUAAGUACAGACAUUUACGGAGGCUCAUUUAGGUUACAAAUUCAAUUCUGUUUUUUCUUAACAAAACCAUUGAUGACUAAUAACAAACAUCUAAAAAAAAUUAAAUUCUCAUCAGGGAUGCACCUGUAAUGUAGAGAAUCUGCUAUGCGAGCACUGUUGACCUGGGAGCCACCAGGGCAAAUGCAGAACUUUGUCCUGUAAAAUCUCUUUUGAUACACUAGAUGUCCUAGAAAACUUCCAUGAGAAGUGAUUUGGCCUUUUGUCACAAUUGUGAAAUUUAGGAUGACAUGAGGUAAUUACUGGAUCAAGGUAAAGUCCAAAAAAGAAUUCCAUGUUUCUCAUCAUAAAUUCGCCCAUCGUUUGCCUCGUAAAAUAAGAAAAAUGCUUAUGAAAAUAACUUUUGGCAACGCGCAGACCAAUCAUGUGAAGGAUCUUAUAUCCUAUAUGCCCUCGUUUUUAUCAAGAAAACCCUGAAUUAACAUAGUAUAAGUCUGUAGAUUAAGCUGGCAACCAAGUUUCUCCAUGACAUUUAACAGCUCAGAGCAUCUAUCAACAAGACCCUUUUCAACAACAGGACAAUCAGAAGCUUCCAAGCAACUUCAUCAUAAUUGUAACCACAUUGGAUAAGCAUACAGAAUGCAGACUUAGCCAUCUCAUCAUUCCCUUCAUCAUACAAUCCACAAACAAGCAGCUUAUAGGAUUCUAUAUGUGGUAGAAGUCCAAGCUUGAGCAUGGUAUCAAGUAUCUUCAUUGCUUCCUCAUACAUUUUCAACUUAGAGCAACAAUUCACCAGUGCAUUAUACAUAUCUUCACUGGGCGACAUUCAACAUUGUUUCAUAUGAUCAACCAACUUCCAGGCUUCUUCAAAGCGUCCUUCUCGACAAAGUCCAGUGGUGAGUGCAUUGUAAGUGUUAACAUUUGGUGAGCAGCCAUUUCCAACCAUUUUCUUGAAGAGCAUAAGAGCUGUAUCAUAUUCCAUUAUUUUCCAGACAUCUGCUAUAUUAAUUGAGUUUUCUUCUGUUUUUGGAUCAAGUUCCGUUCUACAACCACUUCCGUUCGUUCGUUUCUCAUGUAAGAGGUGUUUGAUUAAAACAGAGUAGAUAUAAUGAGUUGGUUCACAUCUAGCAUCAACCAUACAUUUGGGCAUAUCAAAAGCACGAUCUAGUAAACCUGAACGUCCAUUUCCAUCAAUUAAUACUGUGUAAGCCUUGAAAUCUGGUUGCACCCCUUCUUCUUUCAUUUUAGCCAUCAAAUCCUCUGCUUCUUUCAACUUCCCUUGGUUGCAAUAUGCAACAAGAAAUGAAGUGUUUGUGCAAACAUCAGGUUUAUUUCCCAGGGAAACCAUCUGAUGAAACACCUUAUAAGCAUGAUCAAAGUCAUAUUCUUUUAACAUUUGCUCAAUGAGAAUAGUGUAAGUAACAACUGUAGGUUUCACACCUUCUUCCAGCAUUCUUUCCAGAAAUUCUGCUGCUUCAGGCAGUUUUUUCUCUUUGCACAGCCCACUAAUCGGCACAUUGUAAGUGUAUGAGUUCGGAUGGAAGCCCUCACCUGUCAUUCUUCCAAACAAAGUUAGGGAAAAAUCAAUCUUCCCAGCCUUGCAGAAUCCAUCAAUCAGAGUAGUGUAUAUAACUACAUUUGAAUUUAAACCAUUCUCCUUGAGAGAGUCGUAUACAUGAUAAGCCUUCUCAACCGUCCCUCUUUCACAUAAUGCAUCAAUGAGAGCACCAUAAGUUAACUGGUCAGGAACUACAUUUUGCUCUUCCAUCAACCUAAGCAGCCUAAAAGCGCUAUCUAUAUCACCCUCUUUACAUUGUCCACAUACUAAUAAGGAAAGUUACAAGAUUUGGAGACAUCUUCUGCUCUAGCAUCUUACUAAGAAGUGUCAUUGCCUUGUAAACUUGUUUUACCUCACAAUAUCCAGAUAUUAACUCAUUGUAGGUUCUCACAUCUGGAAGACAAGUAUUUGAUUCCAUCAUGGUAAAUAUAUCAAAAGCAGCACCAAUCAGACAAAUUCUAUGACCAUCUCAGAUUGUUCCUUUUCCUUUUUAUUUUACUUUUUUUUGGAACGCAAGAUAUUUUGUCUCACUUCAUCACCAUUGGUCAAUCAAGAAACAAUUUGAUAGGUCGGUAGGUGCGUAGGUAACAAGACAAGUAGAAAAGGAAUUGAUGGGUGGAGAUGCUUCCAUGAAGCACGAUUUGGAAGAAAAUAAGUUAAUUUCUCCUCCAAAGUAAUAUGCAGUAGAGGUCUAUCAGUUGAUCUCUAUAGAAUCUUCCGGAUUGGGCUCAAUAGGUACCCUAGUUCAUAUAUUCAAAUUUCUGUCAUGAAUUUGUCCCUUCCUGUAAAUAAUCUAUUCUGGUAUGGAUGAAAAUGCACAUAGCAAACAAGCAUACUUUUGAAAGUCGAGAUAGCCAAGUGGAUUAAAGCUUUUGAAUGAAAUCUAUUCUUUCUACUCUAUUGUUCUCUUGAUUUUGAAAGAAAUCUUUAGCUUUUGUUUAAUUUUAAGUCUAAAAACCUUAUCCAAUCUGUUUUAACACUUGGAUAUGAUAAAAAGAUGCAUGCAAUUACCCAAAUCUAAAUUCUCCCAGGCUAAAACAACAAUCCCCAUAUUGGAAUCACUUGAAAAGAUAGAGAGGUAUAUCUUAUACAAGUAAAUCUUCUUCUAUUCAUCUCUUAUCUCUUUAAUUGUCUAUCAUUUCUCUCUCAACAGAUACAUCAAGCAAUGCAUAAACGAUACACAAUUCAUAAUUCACUUGGAAAGUGUAUUUAUUUCUAUUAGAAUACUUUAAGCCUUCUUGUGAUUUUGUAGAUGAUCUAAGAAUCGCUCCAUAUAACCAUCUUGUAUAUCUUUAUUCGACAACAAUUCUCUCAUCUCUUUAACCUUUUCCCUGUAAACUUUACCUCCUCCUUCCACCAUCACCAAUCUCAGAGAGUAAGCAACUGCGUCUUUAGUAAAUGAUCCGUCCAGCUCAUUUCUCGCUAUCUCAUGUCCCAACUUCUUUUCCUCCAAUAGGCUGGAAAUCAAUCCUUGGUCCGCCAAGAAAGGCAACAAGAUUAUCCAUUUCCCGAAUUGCAAAGCCUCCACGACUGAGCUCAGCCCGGAGUGACACAAGAUUCCACCCACCGACUCGUGGCUCAGUACCUUGAGUUGAGGGACCCAACUUGUAAAAACCACCCCACGUCCUUUGGUUCUCUCCUCGAACCCUUCUGGUAAAUGAGUCGCCUCAUUAUCUGCUGCCCCUCGUUGCUUCCUCAGAACCCAGAAAAAUGGCAAUUCCGACUUCUCCAAGCCUAAUGCAAUUUCAGUAAGUUCAUCUUGAUUUGGUUUCGUUUCACUUCCAAAAGCUACAUAAACAACCGAUCCUUUUUCUUUCGCGUCAAGCCAUUCCUUAAUUUCAAUCCAGUUUUCAUUUUGCUCAUCAGAACCACUAUUAGUAGUUGUUGGGGGCAAAUGGCCGACUGGAAUAAUUGGUUUUUCGUAAAUAUUCUCUAGAAGAUUUAGCCACUCAGGCUCAAACUCAUAACAACUUCUCAUCACCACCACAUCACAGCCGUCAAUGGUGGCUACCAAUCGGUACAUGUCCGAAACAUUACCUCCGUCUAUCAUUGCCUCCUUAAACUGGCGAUUAAUUUGAAAAAAGCGCAUAGAAACAGAUGUUUCAAAGGGUACCCACUUGGGUUUCACAGUGAAAUCUUCGGGCUUCACCCGAUCAUCUUGAUUUUGCAAUGUAAGUGAUGUUGGGCCAGCAAAGCUCAAAAGAGUUGCAGUAAAUAUGCUGAAAAAAGCACAAGGAAUGUUGAGUUUAGCAGCUUCUGGGUAUAACCAGUAUUGAGCAAAAUCGGCAAUAAUCCAGUCAGGUGAGGAGUCUUCCAACAAAAAAGUGAUUCUUGGCUGAAGCUCGUCGAAGGCAAUUUUAAGGUAGCGGACCAUAUCGAAUGGUACAUCAAUGGUGGCUUCUGCAUCUUCAGGUAGAUUAUCAACUUUUGGCAAUUGAAUCUUGACAAAUUCUAUCAGAUGGGUUAUAUUCGGAGGCAGUUUGGGAAGGCGAUCUAUGUUUCUGGGAGUCGAAACAAAGGAGACACUGUGGCCUUUCUGGGCUAUGAGCUUGGCGAGCUCUAGGUAUGGAAUCAAGUGACCGAAGGCCAGCCAUGGGAACAUGAGAAUAUGCAAUUUACCCUGCUCAGCCAUGGACUACAGAUUUAGAGGUGCAGUGCACAAGAUUCUCGAUUAUACUUUGAAGGUUUGUGAUUGAGAUAUUUAUGUUGAUGAGAUCAGUACAAUUUCAACGUGCUUUUCAUACCAUAAAUAUCCUUGUCAUUCCACGGGAACGCCAGCAAAUGAGGGUGAAGAGGGACCGGGAUUGUUCCGUAUAUGAUAUACUUUCCAAUGGUACACGCCAAACAUAUCCAACAUCUAUAUGAAGCCCCUGUUUGAAGGAUUAAAGUCUAAAUUUUAUCCUAAAUCAAAAUCAACAAUUUAUUUUAAUCACACACUUUAUUAAAUUCACGACAUUUCAAUAACAUAUUUUAUUGAUUUUUAUCAAUCAAAAUUUAUUUUUUAAUGUUUUAAAGCUAUAUUAAUUCAAAUAAUGAUGUUUAAUCUUUCCAAUCUUAUGUAUUUUUCUACGUCUCUCUUUAUGUUUGAUUGUUAAAAUCAUAGGAAGAGAAAGAUAGCAAACUGACAAUAAUUAUAAGAGGCACAAUCAAGCUUCAAUUCGAUUUUUUCAAAACGAUAGAUACAACACUACGGUAAAAUAACAGAUUCGGGUAAAACUUAAAUCAAUUUGAUUAAUUUGAACUCGAACUAAAAAUUAAAAAUAGGAAAAAUUAUAUUUUUGGCUUUGAACUAAAUUAAUUAAUUAGUAAAUUUAUUUAGAAAAAAAUAAAAUAAUUUGAUUUAUUUAAAACAAAUAAAUUUAAAAUAUUAGAAAGAUUCGAUUCUUAUUCGAAUUUUCAGUUCUUGAUCUAGAACUAAGAACCGAUCCAAAUCCGUAGAUUCUCAAUUUAAAUACCCAUUUUGAUAUUUACCUUAAGAAGAACCGUUCGGUUUGGGUCGAGAGUUUUGUCUUCACAAAUAACAUUCAUGACGAUUGACAAUAAGGUAAAAGUUAUGAACAAUGCUAUAGAUAUAGAUUUUUUCUAUAGAUUUUGUACAUCAAGUGGAUAUUUUUUAUACUGUUAUAACUUUGGGUUAAGCUAUAUUUUACUACUACUGAAGAAAGGUAAUUGCAUAAUAAAUAAAAAUUUCCCUAAUUUUAAUUUUCAAAAUAUAUAAAAUGGAGCUUUCCAUGCCUUGAUGUGUUGAAGACAUAUACAUCUUGUAUUAGGCUAUAAAGAAUAUGAAGGUAUGUUAGCCUUGUGUUUACGAGGUUUGUCUUGGAGGUUUUCGUCACACGUCCUAAACUUUAAAAAGCAUCUGAAAAAUGGGACAUCCUACGCUAGUAGAAGUGUCUAUGCUUAGCAGAAAAUGGAUCUUAUUUUUAAAUUCUUACCUUUUUGUGUACAUAUCAUAGUUAAUUUUUAGCAACAAUGGAGGUAGCUAUAUAUGAUACAAUGAUCUACAUAUUCAAGAAAUUACGUAACUAAAACUUAUAGCUAAAUUUAGGAAUCUGUUUCUUGAAAAUUAAUGAAAAAUUUAUUAGCAUGCAAGAAAUUUUUCAGUAAUUUCUUUAGAGUAGCUAUUUGUGUAAUAACCUUGUCUCUUUAUACAAUACACUUAUUCUUUUAUUGGUUCUCCUAUUGGUAAGAACUAAGAAGUUGCACAAGAAACCUUGUCUCUUUAUACAGCACACUUAUUCUUUUAUUGGUUCUCCUAUUGGUAAGAACUAAGAAGUUGCACAAGAAAAGAUUGCACUUGUAAGUAAACAAUUUUUAAUGUAUUGUAGAUGAAAAAUCUAAGUACUGCAAUGAUUUUGACUUGCGGAAGCCCCUAGAGAGGCACUUCCAUAAUGGACAACAGAUUGAUAGCAUUAGACUUGAAGAUUCUGCUGAUCUCACUACAUUUAUAACCGUUGUUUGAGCUUCUUAUCUCAAACUCCUAGGUAGUUGUUUAAACAUUGUAGCCGAUAUGAACAACACUCUUUGUACAAUUGGUGCUUUCUAAAGAAACGUUUAUGGGGGACUAAGGUUUUUGCUGUCAAUGAGAUUGAAUAAGAUUACGG
rnacentral:lncRNA from 1 species